rnacentral:rRNA from 1 species
UACGAAGGGGGCUAGCGUUGUUCGGAAUCACUGGGCGUAAAGGGCGCGUAGGCGGCCGAUCAAGUCGGGGGUGAAAGCCUGUGGCUCAACCACAGAAUUGCCUUCGAUACUGUUUGGCUUGAGACCGGAAGAGGUAAGUGGAACUGCGAGUGUAGAGGUGAAAUUCGUAGAUAUUCGGAAGAACACCAGUGGCGAAGGCGGCUCACUGGUCCGGUACUGACGCUGAGGUGCGAAAGCGUGGGGAGCAAACAGG